rnacentral:lncRNA from 1 species
GCUUUUAAGUUUAAUGGUUGCAAUUCCAUUUAGAAAAAAAUUCAAUUGAGAGAAUCUAAAUCCAAAUUUAUCAAACAACUAAUGAGAAAUCAUAUGUUUACGGUUAGAAGGAUGAUGAUGGCUUAUUGAAGAAAAUAGAUGAUGAACAGUAGUAAAGGGGGAAAAAUCAAAGAGUCGUAGAGUGGCUGUUGAACAUAAGUAAAUGAACUACUGCAAUUUUCGAUUGAAGAAGAAGAUAUAGUGGUAGAUGUGUUGUAGGGUAGACAAGUAGCGCAAUAAACAAUUAGUUGCAUAACAACUAAUUGAUUAUCUCAUAACUACUGUAACUUUAUUAACAGUUUGUUUGUUAUAGGUGUUAACCAUAGUUAG